rnacentral:rRNA from 1 species
AUUGAACGCUGGCGGAAUGCUUUACACAUGCAAGUCGAACGGCAGCACGGGGGCAACCCUGGUGGCGAGUGGCGAACGGGUGAGUAAUACAUCGGAACGUGCCCAAUCGUGGGGGAUAACGUAGCGAAAGCUACGCUAAUACCGCAUACGAUCUACGGAUGAAAGCGGGGGAUCGCAAGACCUCGCGCGAAUGGAGCGGCCGAUGGCAGAUUAGGUAGUUGGUGGGGUAAAGGCUCACCAAGCCGACGAUCUGUAGCUGGUCUGAGAGGACGACCAGCCACACUGGGACUGAGACACGGCCCAGACUCCUACGGGAGGCAGCAGUGGGGAAUUUUGGACAAUGGGCGCAAGCCUGAUCCAGCCAUUCCGCGUGCAGGAUGAAGGCCUCGG